rfam:Triticum aestivum genome assembly, contig: Triticum_aestivum_CS42_TGACv1_scaffold_129381_2BL
AAAGUAAUCCCUCCGUUUGGAAUUAUUUGUCUUAAAAAUGAAUGUAUCUAGAACUAAAAUACAUCUAGAUACAUCCAUUUUCGUGACAAGUAAUUCCGAACGGAGGAAGUAUUUU